GACGAACGCUGGCGGCGUGCCUAAUACAUGCAAGUUGAGCGCUGAAGGUUGGUACUUGUACCGACUGGAUGAGCAGCGAACGGGUGAGUAACGCGUGGGGAAUCUGCCUUUGAGCGGGGGACAACAUUUGGAAACGAAUGCUAAUACGGCAUAAAAACUUUAAACACAAGUUUUAAGUUUGAAAGAUGCAAUUGCAUAACUCAAAUGUGAACCCGCGUUGUAUUCGCUAGUUGGUGAGGUAAAGGCUCACCAAGGCGAUGAUACAUAGCCGACCUGGGAGGGGUGAUCGGCCACAUUGGGACUGAGACACGGCCCAAACUCCUACGGGAGGCAGCAGUAGGGAAUCUUCGGCAAUGGACGAAAGUCUGACCGAGCAACGCCGCGUGAGUGAAGAAGGUUUUCGGAUCGUAAAACUCUGUUGGUAGAGAAGAACGUUGGUGAGAGUGGAAAGCUCAUCAAGUGACGGUAACUACCCAGAAAGGGACGGCUAACUACGUGCCAGCCGCCGCGGUAA
rnacentral:rRNA from 1 species